rnacentral:rRNA from 1 species
AUUGAACGCUGGCGGCAUGCCUUACACAUGCAAGUCGAACGGUAACAGGUUAAGCUGACGAGUGGCGAACGGGUGAGUAAUAUAUCGGAACGUGCCCAAUCGUGGGGGAUAACGCAGCGAAAGUUGUGCUAAUACCGCAUAAGAUCUACGGAUGAAAGCGGGGGAUCGCAAGACCUCGCGCGAGUGGAGCGGCCGAUAUCAGAUUAGCUAGUUGGUGGGGUAAAGGCCCACCAAGGCGACGAUCUGUAGCUGGUCUGAGAGGACGACCAGCCACACUGGGACUGAGACACGGCCCAGACUCCUACGGGAGGCAGCAGUGAGGAAUAUUGGGCAAUGGGCGCAAGCCUGACCCAGCAACGCCGCGUGGAGGAAGACGGCCUUCGGUUGUAACUACCUUUACGGGUAAGGAGGAAGGACGGUACCCGACGAAUAAGU